AGAACAACAUGGCGGAUAGGAAGUGUGAAAAUGUAUAGAAAACGGAUAUCGAUAUUUGYACGAGAUUCAACCUAACGGUCUGCGCAGCACUACAGCUUCUGAUGUGUACCUUUGAUGAAUGAUGUGAUGAAUGGUUCCCAGUACUAUGCACAGUAACAUACAGUUUAAAUUAAAUGGAACUUUAACUACUAUAAAGUGACUGUCAGACUUGUCUUCAGCUGGGAUUUAUAAGAGUCAUUCUACACUAACAUGACAGAGGACUACUAAUUCCCUCAUUGCUUAUUGGAAAAAUUCAAACUUUGCAAUAACUGACAGCCUUCUGCUCCGCUGAGAGUGAUGAGAUAAAGUGGCUCUACACAGCUAGCAUGCAUGAAACAAGACUACCAUAACUCCCUCAUUGCCGAUUCAAAAAAUUCAGGAAACUGAAGAGAGAAGAAGGAACUUGAAGAUUUUGGU